CAAGAUAUAGUUUAUUAAAAUAUUAAUUUUGGAGAUUAAUGAUGUAAAAUUUUUACUAUUUUGA